rnacentral:rRNA from 1 species
GACUGUACAAAGGUAGCAUAAUCAUUUGUCUUUUAAUUGAGGUCUGGAAUGAAAGGUCGGAUGAGAUAUAAUCUUUCUUUAUUUUAUAGAAAAAAUUUUAAUUUUAAGUAAAAAUGCUUAAAUAUUACUAGAGGACGAGAAGACCCUAUAGAACUUUAUAUAUUAAUAUAUUGUUGAUUCUGGUUUAUUAUUUUAAUUAUAUAUAUUUAUAUUUUGUUGGGGUGACAGAAAAAAUAUAAAAACUUUUUCUUUUUUAUACAUAUAUUUAUGUUUAUUUGAUCCUUUAUUAUGGAGAACAAGAUUAAGUUACCUUAGGGAUAACAGCGUUAUUAUCAUGGAGAGAUCUUAUCGAUAUGAUAGUUUGCGACCUCGAUGUUGGAUUAAAAUAAGAUUUUGGGGCAGAAAUCAAAAUUACUAGGUCUGUUCGACCUUUAAACUUUUACA